rnacentral:rRNA from 1 species
CGGUGGAGCAUGUGGUUUAAUUGGAAGCAACGNGAAGAACCUUACCAACUCUUGACAUCCCCUUGACCGGCUUGAGANAUCAAGUUUUCCACAGGUGGUGCAUGGUUGUCGUCAGCUCGUGUCGUGAGAUGUUGGGUUAAGUCCCGCAACGAGCGCAACCCUUAUCCUUAGUUGCCAGCAUUCAGUUGGGCACUCUAGGGAGACUGCCGGUGACAAACCGGAGGAAGGUGGGGAUGACGUCAAAUCAUCAUGCCCCUUAUGAGUUGGGCUACACACGUGCUACAAUGGACGGUACAAAGGGCAGCGAGACCGCGAGGUGGAGCCAAUCCCAGAAAGCCGUUCCCAGUUCGGAUUGCAGGCUGCAACUCGCCUGCAUGAAGUCGGAAUCGCUAGUAAUCGCAGGUCAGCAUACUGCGGUGAAUACGUUCCCGGGUCUUGUACACACCGCCCGUCACACCACGAGAGUUUGCAACACCCGAAGCCGGUGAGGUAACCGCAAGGAGCCAGCCGUCGAAGGUGGGGUAGAUGAUUGGGGUGAAGUCGUAACAA